rnacentral:rRNA from 1 species
GACGAACGCUGGCGGCGUGCUUAACACAUGCAAGUCGAGCGGAAAGGCCCUUCGGGUUACUCGUGCGGCGAACGCGUGAGUAUCACGAACGUAACCUUCCCCAGACUUUGGGUUUACCCUCGCAAACGGGGGCUAAUACCAGAAACGGCUCGGCUUCGCAUGGGGUCUGUGUGGACAGUUAGUCGGUUGGGGAUGGGCUCGCGGCCUCUCAGCUUGUUGGUGGGGUUGUGGCCUACCAAGGCGACGACGGGUAGCCGGCCUGAGAGGGCGACCGGCCACACUGGGACUGAGACACGGCCCAGACUCCUACGGGAGGCAGCAGUGGGGAAUAUUGCACAAUGGGCGGAAGCCUGAUGCAGCGACGCCGCGUGAGGGAUGACGGCCUUCGGGUUGUAAACCGCUUUCAGCUGGGACGAAGCGUGAGUGACGGUACCUGCAGAAGAAGCACCGGCUAACUACGUG